CCUACGGGAGGCAGCAGUGAGGAAUAUUGGUCAAUGGACGAGAGUCUGAACCAGCCAAGUAGCGUGAAGGAUGACUGCCCUAUGGGUUGUAAACUUCUUUUAUAUGGGAAUAAAACGUUCCACGUGUGGGAUUUUGUAUGUACCAUAUGAAUAAGGCUCGGCUAACUCCGUGCCAGCAGCCGCGGUAAUACGGAGGAUCCGAGCGUUAUCCGGAUUUAUUGGGUUUAAAGGGAGCGUAGGUGGAUUGUUAAGUCAGUUGUGAAAGUUUGCGGCUCAACCGUAAAAUUGCAGUUGAAACUGGCAGUCUUGAGUACAGUAGAGGUGGGCGGAAUGCGUGGUGUAGCGGUGAAAUGCUUAGAUAUCACGAAGAACUCCGAGUGCGAAGGCAGUUCACUGGACUGCAACUGACACUGAGGCUCGAAAGUGUGGGUAUCAAACAGGAUUAGAUACCCUUGUAGUC
rnacentral:rRNA from 1 species